UACGAAGGGGGCUAGCGUUGCUCGGAAUCACUGGGCGUAAAGGGUGCGUAGGCGGGUCUUUAAGUCAGGGGUGAAAUCCUGGAGCUCAACUCCAGAACUGCCUUUGAUACUGAAGAUCUUGAGUUCGGGAGAGGUGAGUGGAACUGCGAGUGUAGAGGUGAAAUUCGUAGAUAUUCGCAAGAACACCAGUGGCGAAGGCGACUCACUGGCCCGUUACUGACGCUGAGGCGCGAAAGCGUGGGGAGCAAACAGG
rnacentral:rRNA from 1 species